rnacentral:rRNA from 1 species
GACGAACGCUGGCGGCGUGCCUAAUACAUGCAAGUUGAGCGAUGAAGAUUGGUGCUUGCACCAAUUUGCAGAGCAGCGAACGGGUGAGUAACGCGUGGGGAAUCUGCCUUUGAGCGGGGGACAACAUUUGGAAACGAAUGCUAAUACCGCAUAACAACUUUAAACAUAAGUUUUAAGUUUGAAAGAUGCAAUUGCAUCACUCAAAGAUGAUCCCGCGUUGUAUUAGCUAGUUGGUGAGGUAAAGGCUCACCAAGGUGAUGAUACAUAGCCGACCUGAGAGGGGGAUCGGCCACAUUGGGACUGAGACACGGCCCAAACUCCUACGGGAGGCAGCAGUAGGGAAUCUUAGGCAAUGGACGAAAGUCUGACCGAGCAACGCCGCGGGAGUGAAGAAGGGUUUCGGAUCGUAAAACUCUGUUGGUAGAGAAGAACGUUGGUGAGAGUGGAAAGCUCAUCAAGUGACGGUAACUACCCAGAAAGGGACGGCUAACUACGUG